UACAGAGGGUGCAAGCGUUGUUCGGAAUCAUUGGGCGUAAAGAGCGCGCAGGCGGUCGUUCAAGUCGAGUGUGAAAGCCCCCGGCUCAACUGGGGAGGGUCAUUCGAUACUGAUCGACUCGAAGGCAGGAGAGGGAAGUGGAAUUCCCGGUGUAGUGGUGAAAUGCGUAGAUAUCGGGAGGAACACCUGAGGCGAAGGCGGGCUACUGGGCCGAUACUGACGCUGAUGCGCGAAAGCCAGGGGAGCGAACGGGAGUUAG
rnacentral:rRNA from 1 species